rnacentral:pre_miRNA from 9 species
UUCUCGGGUGUUAGGGGUGGCCGCGACAGAUCCCGGACGAGCCCCCAAAUGUAAGACCAGCAAAAAGAACCUCCAGGCUCGGAAAAGGCGACUCCCCUUAAUCACUCACGAGAAG